GCUGGCAGCGUGUCUGAGCGUCCCCCGGCCCCGCGUUUUGCCAGACGUAUUUGCUGGCUACACGGGAAGAAAAUAAGCUCCAGGAAGGGCUACGUCGUGUUUGCUGCUGCUGCAGAGCUCAUUCCACCCCUGGGAACUACUCAGACCUCGCAGGAGGGGCCGGGCUGCUCCGUAGGGAAUUCAGGCGCUUUCCCUGGAGGCGCGUGUGGGAGCGCUGAGCUCAGCUGGGAUGGCAGCAUGGGAGAUAGCUGGGAAACCCUGGGGAUCUCGGGUCACAGGCGGCAGCGGCCGUGUGUUAUCAUUCCAGACUGCGCUCCGUGACCAGCCGACAAAUUGAAACAAGUUAUAGGAACCUCUCUGCGAAUGUAGGAAGGCUGUUUGUUAACCUUACUUGUGACUACAAAUGAUCAUGAACCAGGAAAUGGAUAUUUUCCCCAGACAAAGACUAGAGAGGAUGGAAGGGAAACUGUGGUCAUGUGAAGACCCAAGAGCAUCUGUCCUCACGCAAAGUAGGUGGCUAGAGGAACACUUUGAGAUACUUUGACACAUCUAUUCCAGAAGAUGCAGGGAAUUGGCAUCAGAAUACAGGAGGAAGCCAUGCCUCUCCAGUAUCCACAAAUAUUUGCUGUUGCCAUCAGUGAAUGGUGCUCUGUGUCGGUGUCAUUCGAUGGGGAUGAUGACACAUUUUAAGGCUCCCAUUCUCACCGUCACAUGGCUUUGUAUCCCUGCAUUUUAGUCAUUUCAGAGCAGUGCAUCACCACCCCACUGGCUCAUGCCGUGCUCUGUG